CCGGGCAGGUGGAGGUCGUUAGCCGUGGUAGGCAAUCUGCCUAGGAGAGCAAACUCUAUACAAACCCGGGCAGGUGAGGCUCGUUAGCCGUGGUAGGCAAUUCACCUAGGAGAGCAAACUCUAUACAAACCCGGGCAGGUGGAGGUCGUUAGCCGUGGGAGGCAAUUCACCUAGGAGAGCAAACUCCGAACAAUAAACCCGGGCAGGUGGAGGUCGUUAGCCGUGGGGGCAAUUCACCUAGGAGAGCAAACUCCGAGCAAUAAACCCGGGCAGGUGGAGGUCGUUAGCCGUGGUAGGCAAUUCACCUAGGAGAGCAAACUCUAAACAAACCCGGGCAGGUGGAGGUCGUUAGCCGUGGUAGGCAAUUCACCUAGGAGAGCAAACUCUAAACAAACCCGGGCAGGUGGAGGUCGUUAGCCGUGGUAGGCAAUUCACCUAGGAGAGCAAACUCUAAACAAACCCGGGCAGGUGGAGGUCGUUAGCCGUGGUAGGCAAUUCACCUAGGAGAGCAAACUCUAAACAAACCCGGGCAGGUGGAGGUCGUUAGCCGUGGGAGGCAAUUCACCUAGGAGAGCAAACUCUAAACAAACCCGGGCAGGUGAGGCUCGUUAGCCGUGGGAGGCAGUUCACCUAGGAGAGCAAACUCCGAACAACAAACCCGGGCAGGUGGAGGUCGUCAGCCGUGGUAGGCAAUCUUCCUAGGAGAGCAAACUCCGAACAACAAACCCGGGCAGGUGGAGCUCGUCAGCCGUGGUAGGCAAUCUUCCUAGGAGAGCAAACUCCGAACAAUAAACCCGGGCAGGUGGAGGUCGUCAGCCGUGGUAGGCAGUCUGCCUAGGAGAGCAAACUCCGAACAAUAAACCCGGGCAGGUGGAGGUCGUCAGCCGUGGUAGGCAAUCUGCCUAGGAGAGCAAACUCUAAAUAAACCCGGGCUUGUGGUGCUCGUUAUACUGUCGUAGACAAUCCACGCGAUGGGAACACCAAAGAAAAGGAAAAUAAAAAAGAACACCAGAAAAAUGGAAAAUACAGAAACGAAACAUCAAGAAAAGAAACAAAAAGAUCAUCCACCUUUAGGCCCUAACAUCGCCAAAAUUAUGGGUGGGUCUCUUCUGGGGAGAAAGCGGCUCACCCAGACCAAAGAACAUCAACAAGGGAUGAUAUAGAAAAGAACACCAAAAAAAUAUGGAAAAAGAACAGAAAAAACAUCGAAAAAGAAAAGCAACAGAAAUAAA